rnacentral:rRNA from 1 species
UACGUAGGUAGCAAGCGUUGUCCGGAAUUACUGGGUGUAAAGGGAGCGUAGGCGGGAAAGUAAGUUGAAUGUUAAAUCUAUGGGCUCAACCCAUAGCCGCGUUCAAAACUGCUUUUCUUGAGUGAAGUAGAGGCAGGCGGAAUUCCUAGUGUAGCGGUGAAAUGCGUAAAUAUUAGGAGGAACACCAGUGGCGAAGGCGGCCUGCUGGGCUUUAACUGACGCUGAGGCUCGAAAGCGUGGGUAGCAAACAGG